UACGAAGGGGGCAAGCGUUGUUCGGAAUUACUGGGCGUAAAGGGCUCGUAGGCGGCCAACUAAGUCAGACGUGAAAUCCCUCGGCUUAACCGGGGAACUGCGUCUGAUACUGGAUGGCUUGAGUUUGGGAGAGGGAUGCGGAAUUCCAGGUGUAGCGGUGAAAUGCGUAGAUAUCUGGAGGAACACCGGUGGCGAAGGCGGCAUCCUGGACCAACACUGACGCUGAGGAGCGAAAGCCAGGGGAGCAAACGGG
rnacentral:rRNA from 1 species